GUACUUGAUGUUGAUUAUCCAACGUGGAUAACUGUGGCAAUUCUAGAGCUAAUACAUGCACCAAAGCUCCGACUUUUGAACGAGCGCAUCUAUUAGAUUAAAACCAAUCGGGUUAUAAGCCCGUUAAUUGGUGACUCUGAAUAVCUAUUGHUGAUCGCAUGGUCUUGUACCGGCGACAUAUCUAUCAAGUGUCUGCCUUAUCAACUUUCGAUGGUAGUUUAUGUGCCUACCAUGGUUGUAACGGGUAACGGAGAAUAAGGGUUCGACUCCGGAGAGGGAGCCUGAGAAACGGCUACCACAUCCAAGGAAGGCAGCAGGCGCGCAAAUUACCCACUCUCAGAAUGAGGAGGUAGUGACGAAAAAUAACGAGACCGUUCUCUUUGUAGGCCGGUUAUCGGAAUGGGUACAAUUUAAACCCGUUAACGAGGAUCUAUGAGAGGGCAAGUCUGGUGCCAGCAGCCGCGGUAAUUCCAGCUCUCAAAGUGUAUAUCGUCAUUGCUGCGGUUAAAAAGCUCGUAGUUGGAUCUGCGUCUCAGGACCUGGUCCAUUCAUUGGAUGAGAACUGGGCUCCUAGGCUAAUAUUGCCAGUUUUCCUUACGUUACCUUGAUUGGUUGCGUAUGGUGGCUAGCAAGUUUACCUUGAAAAAAUUAGAGUGCUCAAUGCGGGCUAAUGCCUGAAUACUCGUGCAUGGAAUAAUGAAAUAGGAUCUCGGUUCUAUUUUGUUGGUUUUCUGAUCUGAGAUAAUGGUUAAGAGGGACGGACGGGGGCAUUCGUAUCGCUGCGUGAGAGGUGAAAUUCCGGACCGUA
rnacentral:rRNA from 1 species